UGAGUUGACCAGACAAUCGCUGCUUUAUCGUUGUGCCCAAUGUUUCGACAAAGGGUAGACAGAUAGAGGGGAGGAAAGUCCGGGCUCCAAUGAGCAGGGUGCCAGGUAACACCUGGGCGGCGCAAGCCGACGACAAGUGCAGCAGAGAGAAGACCGCCGAUGACCGCGCUUAUUUAUAAGUGAUGGAACAGGUAAGGCUGAAAGGGUGCGGUAAGAGCGCACCGGGCGACUGGUAACAGUUCGCAGCAGGGUAAACUCCACCCGGAGCAAGACCAAAUAGGGUUUCAUUACUUUAAAUAGUAUACGCGUGGCUCGCGCGGAAACCGGGUAGGUUGCUUGAGCCUUAAAGCGAUUUAAGGCCUAGACGAAUGAUUGUCCACGACAAAACCCGGCUUAUGUGUCAGCUCAUAUC
rnacentral:RNase_P_RNA from 1 species